rnacentral:rRNA from 1 species
UUGAACGCUGGCGGCAUGCCUUACCCAUGCCAGUCGCACGGUAACGGGCCUUCGGGUGCCGACGAGUGGCGAACGGGUGAGUAAUACAUCGGAACGUGCCCGAUCGUGGGGGAUAACGAGGCGAAAGCUUUGCUAAUACCGCAUACGAUCUACGGAUGAAAGCAGGGGACCGCAAGGCCUUGCGCGGACGGAGCGGCCGAUGGCAGAUUAGGUAGUUGGUGGGAUAAAAGCUUACCAAGCCGACGAUCUGUAGCUGGUCUGAGAGGAUGAUCAGCCACACUGGGACUGAGACACGGCCCAGACUCCUACGGGAGGCAGCAGUGGGGAAUUUUGGACAAUGGGCGCAAGCCUGAUCCAGCCAUGCCGCGUGCAGGAUGAAGGCCUUCGGGUUGUAAACUGCUUUUGUACGGAACGAAAAGCCUUCUUUUAAUACAGGAGGGUCAUGACGGUACCGUAAGGAUAAGCACCGGCUAACUACGUG